UCCACGUGUCUCCGUGUGUCUCCCUGCAGGUGGUCUCAGCUCUACUUUGUGUGCUGGUGGUUUGUCUCCUCCGUCAUCUGGGUCAACCUCUUCGUGGCACUCAUCCUCGAGAGCUUCAUCACCAAGUGGGACCGCAGCCAGAACCCGGGUCCUGCCGACUGCAACCAGGAGGAGCACCUCGCAUACGGAACGAACCUGCACGUCAUCUUCCGCAAGGAUGUAGAGGAGCCCACGGAGGAGGAGCUGCUGCAGAGCCUCAGGCACCACCCGCACGUCCACCUGCGGCCAUGACGGCUCCGGCCGUUUGCGUCGGAGCGGACCUAGCGGAGGGACGGUCGCCCGGCCAGCCAGGGGGGGCGCCCUCCUCCUCCGGCUGCGGCUGCCCCGUGAAGGGGCCGGCUCCGGUUGGACUCUGGUGGCUCACGACGACGGAGAUGAUGAAGAUGAAGAUAACCCCAGCGAACGCACCCAGCUUCUCACGACUCAGAGAGCCGUGACGCACACACACACACGUGUACACACACACGUGUACACACACACACCUACACACACACACGUGUACACACUCACACACGCGUGUACACACACACACACGUGUACACACGUGUACACACGUGUACACACACACACGUGUACACACACACACGUGUACACACACACACACGUGUUCACACACACACACACGUGUACACACACACACGUGUACACACACACACGUGUACACACACACACACGUGUACACACACACACACACGUGCACACACUCACACGCGUGUACACACUCACACGCACGCGUGUACACACACACGUGUACACACUCACACACACGUGCACACGCACACACACGUACACACACGUAGACACACGCACACACACACACGCUUACAAAGGCUUAACAGACUGUUGGGGCAAGUGCUGUUAGCGAGCAGCACUUAUGAAGGCUGGCACGGCACACGGAGGGGGUGGUUGGCCAGUAAUACGCACACGCACACACAUGUUCACACACGUGUACAGAGGUGUGGACACACGCGUGGACACACGCACACAUGUUCACACACGUGUACACAGGUGUUCACACAUGCUCGUGUCAAGAGUCAUAAUAGCCGUGUCAAUAUCCUAAUGUGUAUAUCAAUUCCAUAAUGGCCGUGCCAGGUUUAAUAUGGCCGUGUCAGGGCCAGUAACAGCCUUAAUGGGCAUUUAAAUUAAAAAAUGGCUGUGUCGGGAUCAUAAUGGCCGUGCCGGGAUCAUAAUUGCCGUGUCAAUUUCCUAAUGGACUUAUCAAUUCCAUAUUGGCCGUGUCAAUUUUCUAAUGUGGAUAUCAAUUCCAAAAUGGCCGUGUCAGGUUCAUAUUGGCUGUGUCAAUUUCUUAAUGGGCACAUCAAUUCCAAAACGGCCGUGUCAGGUUCAUGAUGGCCGUGUCAAUUUCCUAAUGGGCACAUCAAUUUCAAAACGGCCGUGUCAGGUUUAUGAUGGCCGUGUCAAUUUCUUAAUGGGCACAUCAAUUUCAAAAUGACCGUGUCAGGUUCAUGAUGGCCGUGUCAAUUUCCUAAUGGGCACAUCAAUUUCAAAACGGCCGUGCCAGGUUCAUAAUUGCCGUGUCAAUUUCCUAAUGGGCACAUCAAUUCCAAAAUGGCCGUGUCAGGUUUAAAAUGACUGUGUCAAUUUCCUAAUGGGCACAUCAAUUUCAAAAUGACCGUGUCAGGUGCAUGAUGGCCGUGUCAAUUAUCUAAUGGGCACAUCAAUUUCAAAAUGACCGUGUCAGGUUCAUGAUGGCCGUGUCAAUUUCCUAAUGGGCACAUCAAUUUCAAAAUGACCGUGUCAGGUUCAUGAUGGCCGUGUCAAUUUUCUAAUGUGGAUAUCAAUUUCAAAAUGGCCGUGUCAGGUUCAUGAUGGCCGUGUCAAUUUCCUAAUGGGCAUUACCAAAUUCAAAAUGGCCGUGUCAGGUUCAUGAUGACCGUGUAAAUGUCUUAAUGGGCAUAUCAAUUUCAAAACGGCCGUGUCAGGUUCAUAAUCGCCACAUCAAUUUCCUAACGGGCACAUUAAUUUCAAAAUGGCCGUGUCAGGGUCCAUAAUUGCCGUGUCAAUUUCCUAAUGGGCACAUCAAUUUCAAAAUGACCGUGUCAGGUUUAAUAUGGCCAUGUCAGAGACACCGAUGAGUCGGGUUCAAGCCGCUCCGGUUCUUGGCUCACGUCUCUCUGAUUCAAAACGGAAGCCAGAGAGAGACAGGGACUCAUCAGUGGGGCGACAUUCCACAUUCCCGUGGCAGGACGAGUCCAUCCGUAGUAGGGUUGACCACAACUUUGGUGCGUAUCCAGCCAAGUAUCGAUUUUAGUGGCACACACCCCCAGAUGGUGAUGAUGAUGGUGAUGAUGGUGGUGAUGAUGGUGGUGAUGGUGGUGGUGAUGGUGGUGAUUUGAUGAUGAUGAUGAUGGCGGUGGUGGUGGUGAUGAUGGUGGUGAUGGUGGUGAUGAUGGUGAUGGUGGUGGUGAUGAUGAUGGCGGUGAUCGUGGUGAUGAUGAUGAUGGUGGUGGUGAUGGUGCUGAUGAUGGUGAUGAUGGUGCUGAUGAUGGUGAUGUUGGUGGUGGUGAUGGUGGUGAUGAUGGUGGUGGUGGUGCUGAUGAUGGUGAUGGUGGUGAUGAUGGUGCUGAUGAUGGUGAUGAUGAUGGUGAUGUUGAUGGUGGUGAUGAUGGUGAUGGUGAUGAUGGUGCUGAUGUUGGUGAUGUUGGUGAUGAUGAUGGUGGUGAUGUUCAUGAUGAUGUCGUUGACUUUUCCCGCGAGACGCGGUCCAUUAGGAACCUUCGUUCACGGCUGAUAUUUUUUUAUUUUUUUUAACAACAGGAAACAGAAUUUAUAUUUGUGAUUAAAUUAUUGUAAAUAUCCUCCUCCCUUUUUAAACACCGCAGAGACGUUGAAUAUCAAUGGGGGUGGCUGUCUGGCCUUGUGGUUAAAUAAAGGAAGUCACAGUUACUA